rnacentral:rRNA from 1 species
GACGAACGCUGGCGGCGUGCUUAACACAUGCAAGUCGAACGGAAAGGCCCUGCUUUUGUGGGGUGCUCGAGUGGCGAACGGGUGAGUAACACGUGAGUAACCUGCCCUUGACUUUGGGAUAACUUCAGGAAACUGGGGCUAAUACCGGAUAGGAGCUCCUGCUGCAUGGUGGGGGUUGGAAAGUUUCGGCGGUUGGGGAUGGACUCGCGGCUUAUCAGCUUGUUGGUGGGGUAGUGGCUUACCAAGGCUUUGACGGGUAGCCGGCCUGAGAGGGUGACCGGCCACAUUGGGACUGAGAUACGGCCCAGACUCCUACGGGAGGCAGCAGUGGGGAAUAUUGCACAACGGGCGGAAGCCUGAUGCAGCAACGCCGCGUGCGGGAUGACGGCCUUCGGGUUGUAAACCGCUUUCGCCUGUGACGAAGCGUGAGUGACGGUAAUAGGUAAAGAAGCACCGGCUAACUACAUG